rnacentral:rRNA from 1 species
AUUGAACGCUGGCGGCAUGCUUUACACAUGCAAGUCGAACGGUAACAGGCCUUCGGGCGCUGACGAGUGGCGAACGGGUGAGUAAUGCAUCGGAACGUGCCCAGAGGUGGGGGAUAACGCAGCGAAAGCUGUGCUAAUACCUUAUACUCCUUAUUAACAGAAGUUAAUAAGGGAAAGAUUUAUUGGUAAGAGAUUAGCCUGUAUUGUAUCAGUUAGUUGGUGGGGUAAUGGCUUACCAAGACUAUGACACAUAACUGGUUUGAGAGGAUGAUCAGUCACACUGGAACUGAGACACGGUCCAGACUCCUACGGGAGGCAGCAGUGGGGAAUAUUGCACAAUGGACGAAAGUCUGAUGCAGCAACGCCGCGUGGAGGAUGACACAUUUCGGUGCGUAAACUCCUUUUAUAUGAGAAGAUAAUGACGGUAUUAUAUGAAUAAGCACCGGCUAACUCCGUG